CCCUAGCCCGGAUGGAAAUGGAUAGCCUUUCUUAGCCUCAUUAUAUUUUUCUUAUGGUAAAAGAGCGACCAUAGAAGCUCCUUUUACAAUUUAGAAAAAUACAAUGAGAGGCUAGAAAGCUUGUAAUGAACAGCCGGAAAUAGC
rnacentral:sRNA from 1 species